rnacentral:sRNA from 1 species
CGUUUCAAUUUGUUGUGGACAGAUAUAGUGAAUGUGUGUAUCAAUUCCUCCGGCAGUUACGAUAUAACCUUUACCACCAUGAACCUCUGUAGAUGCACCGAUAAUCAUGUUAGGAGAUACUCCAUCCAUUGUGUCUGGAUUUCCUGCCUUGCCUAUAGCGAUGAUUUUACCAUCUUUGAUUCCAAUAUCUGCCUUUACAAUUCCCCAGUGAUCAAUAAUAGUUGCUCCGGUGAUACAAAGGUCUAAUACGCCCUGAUCUCUUGUGCGUUCAACAUUUUGUCCCAUCCCGUCACG